UAGUGGCCUUUGCUGUUGAGUAUGU
rnacentral:piRNA from 1 species